UGCAGCGCAUACUGCGGAGGCAGGAGCACGGCUGCAUAGGCACAACUGCUGGGGUUAGGCAACGAGCGCUUGAGGGCGAAGGUCUGCUGCGGACCUUCCUCAUCCAUGGUGCUGCGACUGCAUCGUUUGAUGGAGGCAAGGCCCAUCUGUUUGGUCUUACCCAGCAGCCCGUUUAGCUCCUCGGGUUGGCAUCACGACCGUCCGACCCCUCCCUCUCGCGAGCAAGGUCAGUGUCCCCCGGUCUGUUCAUUCAGACCAUUUUCGCUGGCGAUUUCAGAGCAUGGCGGCCCCAAUGGCUCCACUCCGUCUUCCUGCUUCUUGCCUCCGGAUGGCCUCUCCCGCAUGCCGUCGCACUUGCCGUCGGCCCAGACAGCGCCUACCCAUCCGCCGCCAGCGAACGUGAAGACCAGAUGAUCGAGCCCCAUCUCCGUCAGUUCGCUCUUCGUUGUAGGUCUUUGUCUGAUUUGAGGUCUGCAAUUGUUCGAUUGGGGUAGUACGUGGUUUGAAUUUGAGGAUUUGAGGUAGGUUUGUGUUCAGGUUUAGAUUUGUGGGGAUGGAUUAGGGAAUUUGUUUGUGUUCGACCUAGUUCUGUAGGGUCUAAAAAAUUGGGGAUCUAAUGAGAGGUGCCUGAAGCCCUGAACUAUGUUUCUAUAGGUUGCCUGCUAUUCCUCUCGAUUUGGGGUGUGUAAAUUUUGUGUAUUUGUGUGUUCAUCAAUUUCUAUGUUUUCUUACUUGUGUCAUCGGUUAGUAAAGCUAGGAAAUGCAUCUGGAGGUGACUAAGAGUGUCAGAUUAGCACCAGGUGUUUGAUGGAAUCCAACCAUUCGCAAGGUGCUUGGAGGUAGCUGUUGCUGUGGACCACUGUAUGAUGGCAAAUGUUUUCAGUUUUCACCAAUGUGAGUUUGGGGCACGUGGUUGUCUCCUUCACAUAGACCAUCAAGGCUAUGGAGCCCUUCUUCUCGGUGCUCUUCUUAGUCCUGUUCCUAUGAGAGGUAAUUGGCUGAAAGGAGGAAACUGUCUAGGAUUACUACCAGAGAGACCCAGUAGCACCAAACCAAGUGCACAACCUUCUAUUGAAUAGAAGAAGAGUGCAUAUUCGCCAGCUACAAAGGCAGAGCUAAUAAGGGAUUGUCUCUUAGAUCUUAAACAACAAACAAGGCUGAAAGGAGGCAAUUAGGAUUUCCACCAGAGAGAUCCAACAGCAUGAAACCAAGCACCACCUGCUGUUGAAUAGAAGAAGAUAUCUUUAGUUGGAAUUCUAUUUUUCUUUUUACCAAGAUGGUUAUAGUGUAAAAAAAAUAUAUUAUUCCAGUUUUGAGCUUACCAUGUGCCUUUAUCAUUAAUUUGGUGAGUCAGAUGAGGUUAUUAAAAGUCUUAAACUUCUUAGGGGAACACAACUUUGCUACAAGAUCAAUCUCUUCUGGUAUAUUGUGUGAAUAUGCAGAGUGCAUUCGCUGGCUACAAGGCAGAGCUGAUAAGAGAUUGUCUCUCAUAUCUUAACAACAAAACAAGGGUGGGGACAAAGAGAAUGUGAGACUAGAUAGCUGGAGCAUCGGUUUUAUUUUCAUGUUUGGUAUGAAGAUGGAUCUGGAGAAAUUUGUAAUUGUAACUUUCUUGUAAGCCCAAAAAAAUUGUAACUAUUUGGUUUGUUGUAAUUAUUGACUUUUGUGUUGACAUCAAAGAAGUUUUGAAAAAAAAAUAGUGUAAAUUUA